rnacentral:tRNA from 1 species
GGAGUGUACAGCUCAGUGGUAGAGCGUGUACUUAACAUGCACAAGGUCCUGGGUUCAAUCCCCAGUACCUCCA